rnacentral:rRNA from 1 species
UACGGGGGGGGGCAAGCGUUGUUCGGAAUUACUGGGCGUAAAGGGCUCGUAGGCGGCCAACUAAGUCGGAUGUGAAAUCCCCCAAGCUUAACUUGGGAACUGCAUCCGAUACUGGAUGGCUUGAAUCCGGGAGAGGGAUGCAGAAUUCCAGGUGUAGCGGUGAAAAUGCGUAGAUAUCUGGAGGAAUACCGGUGGCGAAGGCGGCAUCCUGGACCGGCAUUGACGCUGAGGAGCGAAAAGCUAGGGGAGCAAACGGG